UAAUGCAGCAGGGCUACCAGCCAGUUUCAGAUAAUGAUGUCAACCUCGGCCAUCAAGAAGUAACCUUGUCUCCACUAGACAGAGCAGGUUGCGGGAAUUUAGCCAAUUCAGAGGUCUUGUUCUCCAUAAUCUGGAACUUUCCUUCAGAUUUGAUCAAGUUGGAUAAAGUUGGUCAAACCCAAUGGGAAAAAGAUGAAAACAACAAGAAACAGAAACAAACAACAACAACAACAACAAAACAAUGCAUUUAAUUAAAUGAAGAUGAGCUCAUGCUGGAGUAGGGUGGACUCUGAACCCAGUAGGACAAGCGUCCUUGUUAAGAAGAGGGAAAUCUGAACACACACAGAGCAGAGACUGCGGUGUGAAGAUGGAGGCAGAGAUUAGAGAGAUGCUGCUACAUGCCACAAAUGCCUGGGGCUCCCAGAAACUACACGGAGCCUCCCCCAGCGGCUUCAGCAGGAGCAUGGCUCAGCCAACACUUUGAUCUUGGCCUUCCAGCCUCCAGAACGUUUUCCUAAAAUUCCCUUUUCCACUUGUGUGUGGUGCAAGAUGAGGCACAUUUUCCAUGGAUGGUGAACAGAGGGAGGAGCCUCUUGAUCACAACCAGGUCACCCCACUUCUAAGCCACUGUGCCUCCAGCCCCACAAGACUAAGGAGAGAGAGCGCAGAGUGGUGGAGAGUGAGCUGUGCUGGGACCGUUGUUUCUGUAACCUCAUUUUCUGUGUCCAGCUGACACACCUUCAAAGCGGCGUCAGGUCCUAAACUGUAGCUUGCGACGUGCCUGUUUCCAGAAACAAAGGUGAAAGUGCUUUUAGACAGUGUUCCCAUGCAAGAGUCCCUUCCCAGCUGUUCUCUGGAAAUGCAUGUUUCUCUGAACUCUGAGUCCCAAGAAAAAUCAUUUGAGACAUCAAGAAAAUGGGGGAAGUGCUAAAAUUGUGUGGGAAUUCAAGCUUAACAAUAAACAUCAAGACAUUUUUGGUAAAAAUGAAUCCACUGACAUCAGGGAGGAGCAAGAGAACAGCACUCUGACACUGGGUCAGAGGCUAAGACCGACAUUUCUGGGAACCACUCCCAGAAGGGCACAGAUGAGACGCUUUCAGCCUCUCAUCAGCCAGCCUGGCCUGUUGCUGCUGCACAUUAUGAGUGUGUUCCUGGCAUGACUGCUUCUAACAACUGGGUCUCGCUUGUUGCCCAGGCUGUAGUGCAGUGGUGCAAUCAUGGCUCACUGCAGCCUUGACCUCCUGGAUCAAGGUAUCCUCCCACCUCUCAGCCUCCCAAGCAGCUGGGACUACAGGUGCAUGCCACCACACCCAACUAAUUUUUGUAUUUAUGGAGAUAUGGGUCUCACCAUGUUACCCAGGCUGGUCUUGAACUUCUGGGCUCAAGCCAUCUGCCUACCCUGGCCUUCCAAAGCAUUGGAAUUACAGGCCUGAGCCACUGUGCCAGGCCAGAGCCAACAGGACUUACUGAGAAAUUAUCUGAGAGAGAGGGGUCAAGGAAGACUCCCCCUGUUCAACCAAGCAACGAGGUGAAUGGUGCUGCUGCUUCCUGAGAUGGGGAAGACUGUAGAGGAAACAAACCAGGAAUGACAAAUCAGUAAUUUAGCUUUGAAUACAUUAGGCUUGAGAUGUCUAGUCUAUACCCAAACAGACCACACUGUGGCAUCUGGGCAGCAGGAUCUGCAGAAUCCAGCAGGAUGGAUGCUGAUGCCAAGCUGAGUAGACAGUUGGGUCUGUGAGUCUAAAGCUCAGGGAAGACCUCAGCGUCUGGGAUACAAAUCUGGAGAUCAUCAGCCUGUCAAUGAAAGCCAGGGGAAUGAUGGAAGAUACUAUGAGAAAAAGUGAAGAGAGGAAAGAGAAGAGGUCCAUGGAAGGAGACCUGGGAGAAUCCAACCUUCGAUUAGAUCAGGAAGAGGAGAAGAAUCCAGCAAAAAACUCUGAGAAGUCUCUGGGAAGGAAGUCUUCCUUCCUUUCCCUGUACCAGGAGAGGUGCUAUCCCAGAAAUCAGUAAAGAAAAAGUGUUUGAUGGGGAGAGCAGGAUCACCUUUGUCAACUGCUGUUGCGAGACUUGGAAAAAUAAGGACUGGGAAGAGAGCAAUAGAAACUUUGAAAGCCAUUGGUUAUCUUGACAAGAGUUGUUUUUGUGGGGGUGGUGAGAACUGGAGCCUGAUUGGAUGGGUUCAAGAGAGAAUGGGGAGUUCUAGCCAAGAAGGCUGAUGAGGAUGAUUCAAAUUAAAAAUGUUUUCUUUUUAUGAGUCCUCUCAUAUUUACUGAUACAACUGAUAUAUUGGGUCUCCAUUCUGCCACAUUACUUUAUAUUGAUCAUGUAUUAUAUCUGCUAUGUUUCUCCAUGCAACGUAUUUUUUUACUUUAAAAAUUGUAUUUAUAAAGGUUUGUAA
rnacentral:antisense_RNA from 1 species